ACUUACCAGGUCAAGACAUGGGCGUGAUUGACAGGCUAAUGACUUUUCUCGAUUCCAUGGAUGGUGGUGCAUGGUCGCACUUAGUUGGUGCAGCGAUUUGUCAGGUUUAUUCCGGUAACGAACGAGACCUCGGCCUUGUAAAUAGCUAUGCUGCUUACAGGGACAUUGGCGGCUACGCCAAGGAAGCUCGAGGCAAUUGCAGAUCUGGAAUGCCCUUAGAUGUCCUGGGUCGCACGCGUGCUACAAUGACGCCACGAACGAGCUUGCGUGAUGAAAGUUACGCAUAAUCAGCAGUCGGCGUCUUAAGGGAUAGUCUCUUGUAACUGUGGGACUCCAACUAGGAAUGUCUCGUAAGCACAAGUCAACAUCUUGUGUUGAUUACGUCCCUGCUCUUUGUACACACCGCCCGUCGCUCCUACCGAUCGAGUGUUUAGGUGAAUUUGAUGGACGUAAGGAAGUCAAAUAAACCUGAGCACUGAGAAGAGAAGUCGAGAAGACGC
rnacentral:rRNA from 1 species